rnacentral:rRNA from 1 species
UUCGGGGUACUCGAGUGGCGAACGGGUGAGUAACACGUGGGUGAUCUGCCCUGCACUUUGGGAUAAGCCUGGGAAACUGGGUCUAAUACCGAAUAGGACCACGCGCUUCAUGGUGUGUGGUGGAAAGCUUUUGCGGUGUGGGAUUUGGGCGCGCGGAUGNCCCUAUCAGCUUGCUUGGUGGGGUAAUGGCCUACCAAGGCGACGACGGGUAGCCGGCCUGAGAGGGUGACCGGCCACACUGGGACUGAGAUACGGCCCAGACUCCUACGGGAGGCAGCAGUGGGGAAUAUUGCACAAUGGGCGCAAGCCUGAUGCAGCGACGCCGCGUGAGGGAUGACGGCCUUCGGGUUGUAAACCUCUUUCAAUAGGGACGAAGCGCAAGUGACGGUACCUAUAGAAGAAGCACCGGCCAACUACGUGCCAGCAGCCGCGGUAAUACGUAGGGUGCGAGCGUUGUCCGGAAUUACUGGGCGUAAAGAGCUCGUAGGUGGUUUGUCGCGUUGUUCGUGAAAACUCACAGCUUAACUGUGGGCGUGCGGGCGAUACGGGCAGACUAGAGUACUGCAGGGGAGACUGGAAUUCCUGGUGUAGCGGUGGAAUGCGCAGAUAUCAGGAGGAACACCGGUGGCGAAGGCGGGUCUCUGGGCAGUAACUGACGCUGAGGAGCGAAAGCGUGGGGAGCGAACAGGAUUAGAUACCCUGGUAGUCCACGCCGUAAACGGUGGGUACUAGGUGUGGGUUCCUUCCUUGGGAUCCGUGCCGUAGCUAACGCAUUAAGUACCCCGCCUGGGGAGUACGGCCGCAAGGCUAAAACUCAAAGGAAUUGACGGGGGCCCGCACAAGCGGCGGAGCAUGUGGAUUAAUUCGAUGCAANGCGAAGAACCUUACCUGGGUUUGACAUGCACAGGACGCCGGCAGAGAUGUCGGUUCCCUUGUGGCCUGUGUGCAGGUGGUGCAUGGCUGUCGUCAGCUCGUGUCGUGAGAUGUUGGGUUAAGUCCCGCAACGAGCGCAACCCUUGUCCUAUGUUGCCAGCGGGUUAUGCCGGGGACUCGUAGGAGACUGCCGGGGUCAACUCGGAGGAAGGUGGGGAUGACGUCAAGUCAUCAUGCCCCUUAUGUCCAGGGCUUCACACAUGCUACAAUGGCCGGUACAAAGGGCUGCGAUGCCGUGAGGUGGAGCGAAUCCUUUCAAAGCCGGUCUCAGUUCGGAUCGGGGUCUGCAACUCGACCCCGUGAAGUCGGAGUCGCUAGUAAUCGCAGAUCAGCAACGCUGCGGUGAAAAUACGUUCCCGGGCCUUGUACACACCGCCCGUCACGUCAUGAAAAGUCGGUAACACCCGAAGCCGGU